GGCACAGGGGAGGCCCUGAGUCACACGAUGGUGAUGCCCAGGGCAGAAGAUGUCAGAAGACAGGCAGUUUCUCACAGUGCUUCUGAAGGUCGCGAAAAAGCCAGGGGUGAGUCUGUAAAGUCCCUGCUGGCCAUGAUGAUGUCCCUGACAGCUGGGGAUCCUGGCGAGAACAGCAUUCAGAACUUGGGAUUUUCCUUGCAGAUCAUAAUGGUUGGCUGACUCAGGGGAAAGGGGGAGCUUUGCAGAGAGCCUCAAACAUCUCCAGCUGAGCUGCACCUGUCAGGGCCCCUGAGCCAUCCAGGAAGAAGGAGGCACUAAGGUGGGGAAUGGGGUCAGCAGCCUGGGCUCUGGUUCCAGUUCCGCACCCCCCCCUUGCCCCCCAGAACUACCUGUAUGGCAAGCUCCUUUCCCUUCCUGUGCCUCAGUUUCCUCCUCUGUAAAAUCAGUUUAGACUACACUGCAAGGUUGUCCAGCCCGCAGCCAGUGGGCUGCAUGCCAGCCAGGACAGCUUUGAAUGUGGCCCAACACAAAUUCGUAAACCUUCUUAAAACAUUAUGAAA
rnacentral:lncRNA from 1 species